rnacentral:rRNA from 1 species
UACGUAGGUGGCAAGCGUUUGUCCGGAUUUAUUGGGUUUAAAGGGUGCGUAGGCGGUCUUUUAAGCCAGAUGUGAAAUCCCCGGGCUUAACCUGGGAAUGGCAUUUGGGACUGCAAGGCUUGAGUGCGGCAGAGGAGACUGGAAUUCCUGGUGUAGCAGUGAAAUGCGUAGAUAUCAGGAGGAACACCGAUGGCGAAGGCAGGUCUCUGGGCUGACACUGACGCUCAUGCACGAAAGCGUGGGGAGCAAACAGG